rnacentral:misc_RNA from 1 species
GAUGAAGAACGUAGCGAAAUGCGAUAAGUAAUGUGAAUUGCAGAAUUCAGUGAAUCAUCGAAUCUUUGAACGCACAUUGCGCCCGCAGUAUUCUGGCGGGCAUGCCUGUUCGAGCGUCAUUUCAACCAUCAAGCCCCCGGGCUUGUGUUGGGGACCUGCGGCUGCCGCAGGCCCUGAAAAGCAGUGGCGGGCUCGCUGUCACACCGAGCGUAGUAGAUUUUAUCUCGCUCUGGGCGUGCUGCGGGUUCCGGCCGUUAAACCACCCUUUUAACCCAAGGUUGACCUCGGAUCAGGUAGGAAGACCCGCUGAACUUAAGCAUAUCAAUAAGCGGAGGA